GACAGGCAAUAUAUUAGCAUAAAGACUCGUCUUUAGCGCUAUUGUUAAAUAUGCUAGUCCUUUCAUGAUUAUGUGAUAGGUGGUGCAUGGCCGUUCUUAGUUCGUGGAGUGAUCUGUCUGCUUAAUUGCGUUUCACUAAGGGCCCAUAAAUUCAAGGUAUGUUAGCAAAUGCUGCUCUAUUGACCCCUAAUAGGCUUAACUGUCUUUAGCGCGUGUCUCUACGAGUUCUUUAAAGCACUGCGCAUGCUGUUGGGUCCUGAAAGCAACGAACGUGACCGCAACGUCUUGUUGCCUCUCUAUAAUACCUUCUUAUUUUUAAUAAGAGUAUUUACCUGAGGCUAUUUUAAAACUAGACGGACCGCUGUUUCUUUCUUAAACCAGAGGAAGGUUGCGGCAAUAACAGGUCUGUGAUGCCCUUAGAUGUUCCG
rnacentral:rRNA from 1 species